rnacentral:rRNA from 1 species
UCCUUCGGGGGGGGGGACAGUGGGGAAUAUUGCACAAUGGGCGCAAGUCUGAUGCAGCCAUGCCGCGUGUGUGAAGAAGGCCUUCGGGUUGUAAAGCACUUUCAGUGGAGAGGAAGGGUAAGUAGUUAAUACCUGCUUUCUUUGACGUUACCCACAGAAGAAGCACCGGCUAACUCUGUGCCAGCAGCCGCGGUAAUACGGAGGGUGCAAGCGUUAUUCGGAAUUACUGGGCGUAAAGCGCGCGUAGGCGGAUGAUUAAGUCAGAUGUGAAAGCCCUGGGCUCAACCUAGGAACUGCAUUUGAUACUGGUCAUCUAGAGUUUAAGAGAGGGAAGUGGAAUUUCAGGUGUAGCAGUGAAAUGCGUAGAUAUCUGGAGGAACAUCAGUGGCGAAGGCGACUUCCUGGUUUAAAACUGACGCUGAGGUGCGAAAGCGUGGGUAGCGAACGGGAUUAGAUACCCCGGUAGUCCACGCCGUAAACGAUGUCAACUAGUUGUUGGUCUUAUUAAAAAGAUUAGUAACGAAGCUAACGCGAUAAGUGACCGCCUG